rnacentral:rRNA from 1 species
UUGACCUCGAAUCAGGUAGGAAUACCCGCUGAACUUAAGCAUAUCAAUAAGCGGAGGAAAAGAAACCAACAGGGAUUGCCCCAGUAACGGCGAGUGAAGCGGCAACAGCUCAAAUUUGAAAUCUGGCCCCCCGGGGCCCGAGUUGUAAUUUGUAGAGGAUGCUUUUGGCGAGGCGCCUUCCGAGUUCCCUGGAACGGGACGCCACAGAGGGUGAGAGCCCCGUCUGGUUGGAUGCCGAGCCUCUGUAAAGCUCCUUCGACGAGUCGAGUAGUUUGGGAAUGCUGCUCUAAAUGGGAGGUAUAUGUCUUCUAAAGCUAAAUAUUGGCCAGAGACCGAUAGCGCACAAGUAGAGUGAUCGAAAGAUGAAAAGCACUUUGAAAAGAGGGUUAAAUAGUACGUGAAAUUGUUGAAAGGGAAGCGCUCAUGACCAGACUUGGGCCCGGUGAAUCAUCCAGCGUUCUCGCUGGUGCACUUUGCCAGGCUCAGGCCAGCAUCAGUUUGCCCCGGGGGACAAAGGCUCUGGGAAUGUGGCUCCUCCGGGAGUGUUAUAGCCCUCUGCGCAAUGCCCUGGGGCGGACUGAGGUUCGCGCAUCUGCAAGGAUGCUGGCGUAAUGGUCAUCAGCGACC